rnacentral:tRNA from 1 species
GACUCACUGGCUUAAGGGCAGAGCUUCAGUCUAGUAAACAGAAGGUCAUUGGUUCGAUUCCAGCAUGAGGCA